GUAGGGAAUAUUGGGCAAUGGAUGAAAGUCUGACCCAGCCAUGCCGCGUGCCGGAUGAAGGCGCUCAGCGUUGUAAACGGCUUUUAUUCGGGAAGAAGAGCAGGGAUGCGUCCCUGUGUGACGGUACCGAAUGAAUAAGCACCGGCUAACUCCGUGCCAGCAGCCGCGGUAAUACGGAGGGUGCGAGCGUUGUCCGGAUUUAGUGGGUUUAAAGGGUGCGUAGGUGGCCAAAUAAGUCAGUGGUGAAAUACGGUUGCUCAACAAUCGAGGUGCCAGUGAUACUGCUUGGCUUGAAAUAAUUGGAUGCUGCCGGAAUGGAUGGUGUAGCGGUGAAAUGCAUAGAUAUCAUCCAGAACACCGAUUGCGAAGGCAGGUGGCUACGAUUUAUUUGACACUGAGGCACGAAAGCAUGGGGAGCAAACAGGAUUAGAUACCCUGGUAGUCC
rnacentral:rRNA from 1 species